GACGAACGCUGGCGGCGUGCCUAACACAUGCAAGUCGAACGGACAGGCCCUGCUUUUGUUGGUUGCUCGAGUGCCGCACGGGUGAGUAACACGUGAGUAACCUGCCCUUGACUUUGUGAUAACUUCAGGGAACUGGGGCUAUUAUCGGAUAGAAUCUCCUGCUGCAUGGUGGGCGUUGGAAAGUUUCGGCUGUUGGGGCUGGUCUCGCGGGAUAUCCGCUUGAUUGUGUGGUAGUGGCUUACCAAGGCUGUGAGGGGUAGCCGGCCUGAGAGGGUGACCGGCGACAUGGGGACUGAGAGACGGACCAGACGGGUACGGGAGGCAGCAGGGGGAAAUAUUGCGGAAUGGGCGGGAGCCUGAGACAGAAACGCCGCGUGCGGAAUAACGGCCUUCGGGUGGUAAACAGAUUUGGAAUGUAACGAAGCGGGAGUGACGGUAAUGGGUAAAGAAGCACCGGCUAACUACGUG
rnacentral:rRNA from 1 species